rnacentral:rRNA from 1 species
GUCUAUGGCCAUGCCACCCUGAACACACUCGAUCCCGUCUGAUCUUGGAAGCUAAGCAGGGUUGAGUCUGGUUAAUACUUGGAUGGGAGACCACCUAGGAAGACCAGGUGCUGUAGGUG